rnacentral:rRNA from 1 species
CCUACGGGGGGCAGCAGUGGGGAAUAUUGCGCAAUGGGCGAAAGCCUGACGCAGCGACGCCGCGUGAGGGAUGAAGGUCUUCGGAUCGUAAACCUCUUUCAGCAGGGAAGAACGGUCACUGUGCUAUUCAGCUGUGCAUUGACGGUACCUGCAAAGACAGCACCGGCUAACUCCGUGCCAGCAGCCGAGGUAAUACGGAGGGUGCGAGCGUUAAUCGGAAUUACGGGGCGUAAAGCGCUCGUAGGCGGUAUGUCAAGUCAAGGGUGAAAUCCCCGGGCUCAACGUGGGAACUGCCUUUGAAACUGACAAGCUUGAGUGUGUGAGAGGCUAGUGGAAUUCCUAGUGUAGCGGUGAAAUGCGUAGAUAUGAGGAGGAACACCGGUGGCGAAGGCGGUCUGCUGGACAGCAACUGACGGUGAGGCGCGAAAGCGUGGGGAGCAAACAGGAUUAGAUACCCCGGUAGUC